rnacentral:rRNA from 1 species
GGCAGCACGGGAGCAAUCCUGGUGGCGAGUGGCGAACGGGUGAGUAAUAUAUCGGAACGUGCCCAGUAGUGGGGGAUAGCCCGGCGAAAGCCGGAUUAAUACCGCAUACGACCUGAGGGUGAAAGCGGGGGAUCGCAAGACCUCGCGCUAUUGGAGCGGCCGAUAUCAGAUUAGCUAGUUGGUGGGGUAAAGGCCUACCAAGGCAACGAUCUGUAGUUGGUCUGAGAGGACGACCAGCCACACUGGGACUGAGACACGGCCCAGACUCCUACGGGAGGCAGCAGUGGGGAAUUUUGGACAAUGGGCGCAAGCCUGAUCCAGCAAUGCCGCGUGCAGGAAGAAGGCCUUCGGGUUGUAAACUGCUUUUGUCAGGGAAGAAAUUCUCUGGGUUAAUACCUCGGGGGGAUGACGGUACCUGAAGAAUAAGCACCGGCUAACUACGUGCCAGCAGCCGCGGUAAUACGUAGGGUGCGAGCGUUAAUCGGAAUUACUGGGCGUAAAGCGUGCGCAGGCGGCUUUGCAAGACAGAUGUGAAAUCCCCGGGCUCAACCUGGGAACUGCAUUUGUGACUGCAAGGCUAGAGUACGGCAGAGGGGGAUGGAAUUCCGCGUGUAGCAGUGAAAUGCGUAGAUAUGCGGAGGAACACCGAUGGCGAAGGCAAUCCCCUGGGCCUGUACUGACGCUCAUGCACGAAAGCGUGGGGAGCAAACAGGAUUAGAUACCCUGAUAGUCCACGCCCUAAACGAUGUCAACUGGUUGUUGGACGGCUUGCUGUUCAGUAACGAAGCUAACGCGUGAAGU